rnacentral:SRP_RNA from 1 species
AGGGUGAUUUAUUAGGCAGAUAUAGAAGUACACCUGGUCAGGUUCGAAAGAAAGCAGCCAAUAUUUCAGUGUCUGGGUUAAUGAUGAACCCUCAUUU